UACGUAGGGUGCAAGCGUUGUCCGGAAUUAUUGGGCGUAAAGAGCUCGUAGGCGGUUUGUUGCGUCGGCUGUGAAAUCCCGAGGCUCAACCUCGGGUCUGCAGUCGAUACGAGCAAACUAGAGUGUUGCAGGGGAGACUGGAAUUCCAGGUGUAGCGGUGAAAUGCGUAGAUAUCAAGAGGAACACCUGAGGUGAAGACGGGUUGCUGGGCUGACACUGACGCUGAGGCGCGAAAGCUAGGGUAGCAAACGGG
rnacentral:rRNA from 1 species